rnacentral:rRNA from 1 species
CAGCAGCCGCGGGAAUACGUAGGGCGCGAGCGUUAAUCGGAAUUACUGGGCGUAAAGCGUGCGCAGGCGGUUGUGUAAGACAGGUGUGAAAUCCCCGGGCUUAACCUGGGAACUGCGCUUGUGACUGCACAGCUAGAGUAUGGCAGAGGGGGGUGGAAUUCCACGUGUAGCAGUGAAAUGCGUAGAGAUGUGGAGGAACACCGAUGGCGAAGGCAGCCCCCUGGGCCAAUACUGACGCUCAUGCACGAAAGCGUGGGGAGCAAACAGGAUUAGAGACCCCUGUAGUCCCUGUCUCUUAUAC